ensembl:lncRNA
CUUUCCCAAACUUAAAUCAAUAUUUUUAUGUGUACAUGUGUAUCUACUUUCUCUUAAUUGACUGUGUGUUAAUCUUAUUUCCUCCAUUAAAUUGUGAAAUUCCUGAGGGUAAAAACCAUGUCUAAUCUAGUCUGUAAAUUUCCCUUAGCACCCUGUUCAGAAUGCCGCGCUCAAGCUAAAUAAAAUCACGGCUCAGAGAGAAACACCAGGGCCCCCGGCACUGCAGGCUCAAAGGAGUCCAUGAGUUCCAGGCAGCUUGAGGCCUCAGCUGAAGAAGAAAAGGACCAUAAGCAGAAUCUAUAAAUGGUGAAAGCAAACUGUCAACUGGAAUAUAUUCAGAAAUCCGCUCAGCCUAAUGCAUGGGUUCAAGAACAAACAUCAGAUUCAUGUUCUCUCCAAGAAUAUUCUCUCUUCAAAACAUCAGACUCAAAUCUAUUGGUGUAAGUAUGGUACUAGAUUUUUCUUUGCUGAUUCAGAGCUGAUUUUUCCACAUUUUUGAUACCCAGCUGAUUAUGUCACUGGAAUAUUUUAAACAGAUCAAAAGCUCUCAAGGCCUGUAGGAUAUAAGUUCUUGACGGUCUCUCAAAGACAGGAGUUUUUCUGUCUUUGUGGUCUCCCAUUAUAUUCCCUCCACUACAGACUAUGGACUCACCUCUCCCUCAAGCAUGCUCUUUUAACUUCUGGAUAUUUGUUUCCUCUUCCUAGAACACUCAUUCCAACCCUUCUGUUUCCUUUAGAUUCUACUUAGCCUUUAAAUCACCACUCAAUAUUCUCCAUUAAUAGAGUCCUUGACUCCUUUGGCAACAUUAGACAUUCUUGUCUCUGUUUCCAUAGACCUUACCUCAACACUAUUUUAGUAUUUCAUACAAUAUGUUUUAACUUGUUUAUCCGUGAUGCUUCUUUCUAUUACUUUGACCUCAUCGAGGGUACACACUGUGUCUUGUUCAACUUAUUAUCCAGUUUUAAGCUCAGUGCUUCACAAAGGUGAUUCUUAAUGGAUGCCUAUUGACCAAAAAGAGAGUAUGUUUGAAAUUAUUAUGUUCUUCCAAAAUUAAGCCUUCUUCUGAAAAAGUUACUCCAUGGUCAUUCUAUUAAUUUCAUAUUCUUUAGUGAUUUGCACCACUUACAUAUUUUUUUUUUAAGACUUCUUAAACCCAUUGACUGAAUGACUGAAUGUUGCCUUGUGCAUCAACUGCUUAGCUUUUCUCAGCUGUCAAUGCAAAGACUGAGGGCCCUUAUGCCUUCUAGAAAAAGCUCUUAAGCCAAAAGCUUGAGGUGGGGUAAGAAGCACAUGCAGCAUCAAAAUCAUACAAUCAGAAACUACAUGCAGCAGAGUGACACACAUCUCCUAUGGCUUCUAUUUCUAGGUUGUUUGAGGUUUUAGGAAGAAGGGACGCCAAAUUUUAUCACAUUUUCUCCACAACUUUUUAACUCAUUAACAUGAUAAUUUGCAUUAAUUGAUUUGCUAAUGUUAAACAAACCACUCAAGGCUGGGAUAA